GGGGGGGCCAAGUCGCCGCGCCGACCGCAAGGGGGCAAGCGCCUAACCUCCAACUCCUGAUUGGGGUGAAGUCGUAACAAGGUAGCCGUAGGUGAACCUGCAGAAGGAUCA
rnacentral:rRNA from 1 species